rnacentral:misc_RNA from 1 species
GGGAUAUAUUUAUACAUGAAGCUCAUAAUGGUCAUCAUUCAUAAUUUAAAUUCUUAGCCCUUUAUCACACGUUUAAUUGGUCAACAGAAUAGUAUAACAAAAUUUUUAUGCAUCACAUCAAAUCAACCUACCAUAUGGUUGAAAAAAAUAAAGAAGAUCCGGAGAUUGAUAUGAGACUGUCAAGAGUAGGUGGGUAUCUGCAAAUCCAAAGAACAGCAAGUGUGAGAACUUCUAGGGGGUUGAUGCAUAUCCUAGUUUAACACAUUUGUAAAAUUUAAAUUUACAUACAGAUAAAUUUUACAUAUAUGCUAUGUAUGUAUAUCAAGCUUGCAUCUCAGUUUGUUUGAUUAAGCCUCUCUUUUUUCAAAACUGCAAAUAGGAAAAAUAUGGAACAACAAAAUAGUCAUUAUAAUUUGAAACAGAGCUCAAAUCUUUGGUGCAUAAAUGCUUCUAAGGUUUACUUGUUUCUUCACUUUUGUGCCUCUAAUGUAUUUUCCCUUUCUCCCACUCCUUCCCUUGCCAGAUGCACUUCUCUAAAAAUGGAACAAAAAUGAAAAUUUUGAUAUCAUUUUUUUCCUUCUCCUGAUCUUCCACAUCACGGAAAUCUUACAACUUGCUUCCAUGCCAUAAUUGCUUCGGAUAUGUUGUUGCUCUUCCUUUUUUCUUUGUAAGAGUUGCUCUCACAUAACUUGUCUUGAGAAAUUUAUCAGUAUGCUGGAACAGCCAACCUGAUGCACCUUUUAUUUAGUAAAACAUGUUAAAAGGAAGAACCAUAGAAAACUUCGAAAAAACAAAAGAGAGGGAUUAUUAUCUAACCAAUAUGAAAGAUAUGAGCCAAGAACAUACAACUACUGUUGUUGUGCCAUGCAUCAAAGGAUUCAAAGCAUGCAACUCAGCAUACCUGUAAACUGAAUUUGUAAUGGUUCCAAGCUUUGCCGUCAAGGUUUUCCCUAUGGAAACAUUCUGAUCGUCAAUAUACAUGUUGUGUUUUUAUGUCUCCACAUCUCCAGGUUUAAGUUGCAUGAUCCAGUUGUUUACCCAUAAGUAAUUUACUCAAGUUUACGUCACAGGCAAGAGUGUCUAACCCUCGAUUUGAACUUAUAAAACUAGCUUGGACCAGGCGACACGAUAAAGCAUAUAUCUAACUAGAAAUCUCAAUCCAGCUCUUUCCAGCUUUCUUUAUGCCCAAUUUUUUAGCAGCUUUCCUCACUUUGCUAAGAUUAUCCCACAUUCCCAACAUUGCAAAAGCAUUUGAAAGCAUAACAUAUACUGAAGGAUCAUCGGGGGAGGUAGCAAGGAGGUUUUCUUCAAUGGUACUAACCAGUUCAGUGUUCCCAAGAGUUCCACAUGCCCCAAGCAAGGAGCUCCAUAUAGUUUUAUCAGGCUUAAAUGGCAUCUCAGCAAUUAAUUUCAUUGCCUCAUUGAAACACCCAGCUUGGCCAAGAAGUUCAACCAUGCAAUAAUAAUGUUCUAUGUGAGGUUCAAGCCCAUAAUUAAAUUUCAUGGACUUAAAUAUGUUCCAUGCCUCUUCAAUCAAACCAGCAUGUCUGCAGGCAGUAAGGACACCUAGAAAGGUGACUUCAUUUGGCUUUAACCCUAUUUGUACCAUCUUUUUGUAAAAUUCAACAGCUUCCUUAGAUCUUCCAUUCUGCCCACACCCCACAAUGAUUCCUGUCCAACAUACAAUAUCCUUAUCAAGAACAGAAUCAAACAAAGUUAUGCCAUCCUCAAUUUCACCACAUUUUGAGUACAUAUCAAUUAGAGCUGUAACAGUAACCCCUUCGGUUUCAUAUCCAUUCUUAAUACAAAAAGCAUGAACCUGUUUGCCACUUCCGAGAGAUGCUAAACUUGAACAAAUUUUCAGAACAUAGGAAAUAACAUAUUGAUCAACUUCAAGGUCCAAAUUAACCAUAUCUCUGAACAGUGAAAAACCCAACGAGUUUAAUCCCAUCUUGGCACACCCCACGAUUAAACCAUACCAAGCCACAAUAUCUUUCUUUGGAAGCCUGUGAAACAGUCCAAUAGCAUCCUUAAGGUUUCCCAGUUUUGCAUAGAGAUAUACGAGGACACUUCCAACAGCAUAAUCUAACUCGUACCCACUGAUAAUAACCAAUCCAUGCACUUGAAUCCCUAGUCUUAAAUUGAGCAAGUUGAUGCAGACCUUCAAAGCACUACUGAAAGUAUAAGAAUCAAUACAGGCACCAGAAAGAUAGAUUUUUGCAAGCAUACUAAGAGCAACCAUAUUUUGUCCAUUGACAACACAUCCAGAAAGCAUAGAAUUCCAAAGUACCAAACUAUCAGAAAUUGAACCGUUGCCACCUGAGUACUGAUCAAAUAGCUUUAUUGCUUCAUUUAACUGAGAGCAAUUUGAGUACAUAUCAACCAGUGCUGACAUGGUGAAGCAGCUAGAUGCAAAACCUGACUUUAUAACAUAACAGUGAAUCUGUCUCCCCAUAUCUAAGAAACAAUCAUAACUGCAUGAUUUAAGAGCGCAGGGAAACGUGAAAUCAUCAAGCUUAACCCCUUGGUGGUGCAUCUUGCAGACAAACUCUAAUGCAGCGAAACUCCUAUUAUCCACAAAUCCAGCAAUAAUGAUAUUCCAGGAAACAGCAUUUGGCUCUGGCAUUCGAUUAAACAAAUGCACCGCCUCCUUCAUUAACCCUUCCUUACAGUACCCUGAAAUGAUCGUAUUCCAUGUAAUCGAAUUUGCACCCAGACAAAUCCCAUCAAAAACGUUCCUUG